AGAGACGGCCGAACCGACGACGGUUUCGGUGUAAGUAUGCGAGAGACUUGCCAUACUUUAGACACCGCGGAAUUUUUGCACUCACCCGUGUGCGUGUGUGGUGACGUUAUAAAAUUUGAACCAAUGAAUAUGAAUCGAAACCGCGACUUUAGAAGGAAAAAUUAGAUCAUCCCAAAUUCUCAACAUCCGACUUUGAGAUUUGAAAUGCAACCAAACAACAAAUUAACGGGCGAUUCAAAGUCAAAAGUCUAGGUAAAAGUCAUCACAGUAAAGAUUUCCCAUAGUCGACACAUAGUUCGAGCCGCUCUCUUUUCCGCAUCCACCGCAAAUUGGCCCAUGUUCAUGUUCCAACACAAAAAUAGUUCCCUUUUGUUUCAACAAUUCGUACACACAAAUCGGCUGUUGCGCACUCGAUACACCGAAAUAUAUAUGUACGAUCACUUGCAUACACAUACAUACGCAUACAUCAUCAGCAUUCAGGCACACACGAAUCAUAUGCUCGUGAGUGAUUAGCCGUACAGCGCUACGCUGCAUUUGUAAUGGUGAACCGGAUGAACGAUUGGCAAAGUGAAAGAGAAUCAUGUAAGUCCGGACCGUCGGCUGGUUGUUGUUGUUGCCAGUUUUCUUGCCUUCUGACAGUUUGAACAAUGGCAGAAGGAAGAGAAAUAGAAACGUAUGGCACAACGAACAAUGGAUAUUGAACCGGUUCAACGAUUCGAUGGAUGCGGUUUAAAACCGCGAUUUGGCACAACAGGCACAUACAUACAUACUCACGCGCAAACACAUUCAACAGUCACAUCUGAUGGAUUCUUUCACUUGUAACACUGAAACAAAAUACACUGAUUGCGAUGUUGUUGUUUUUCUCUGUCUUUCUUUUGUCAUUUCGUUGACACUUUGAAUGGGCUGCCCGAAAAAUGGGUUUUUCACAUUUUCACCAUGUGCGUGUUGCCACUUUGAAUUCAUUUAUUUCCUACCUUGUUUUCACUUACUCUAUCUAUGAUUAUCGAUAGCAUUAUCACAUUUUGGAUUCUGUGCUCGUUUUUUUUUUCUUCGUUCUUGUUCAAUUGAUAUGAUUGAUUUUUUAGUUUAUCGAAUGAAGAGGUUGACUCAAUCGAAUUUGAACAAAAUUAAACUGUAACAUUCAAUGAGUUGAUAAUUUCAGCGACAAAAUUAUUACCGUUGUCAGAUCUGCGGCUUGUUUCCUUUUAUUGCAAACAGUGAACAGAAAACACACCGACAAAUCGAAUUUAUUAGCUAAUCAAUCGAGAAAUAACAGCGGAAAUUUCGACCGAAACAGUGGUUGAGUUUAUUUAAGAUAAUUCAAAUUAUUACUCACGGUCAAAUCCAAUCUCUCUCCUUUUGUCACACUCUAUCUCUGUUUACAGCACUCUGUUCAAUUGUCCCCAGUGUGUUUUCGAAAGAAAGAUCACUUCGAGUAGCCAGUACAUAUGAUAAGGAUGAACAACGAAAUGAAUAAUAAUUCCGAUUAUGGGUGAUUGUGUUUGCGAUUUCUUCUUCUUAUUCAUCUCUCUCUUCUCCUCCUGUUCGCAAUUUUAUUGAAAUCAUUUCAAUUACCGAGAUAAAAUUGAUUAGGCAUAGGCAAUUUUAGAUUUAGGUGCAAUCGUAUAUAUAUUUUUCUGUUCAUGUUUUUUUUUUGUAUAAAUUGAUUUUUGUUUAGUCAUUUUUAGGUGAAUCCCACCACGUGUAGUAAAAUUAGAAUUGAACUAUAUCAAAGUUCAUCGUAUAGAAAAUUAGUGCUUAGUUCUCCAAUCUGUUGUUUUUUUUUUCCUUCGUUUUUUCCCUUGUUUUCAUUACAACAUCUAUCUAACAGCUUAAAAUAUCUAUUUCUCUUCCAUUUUUCCCAUUUUUCCUUUCCAUUAGUCCACACAAUUUUCUGUGUAUGGUUAAAAGGAGAGACAAAAAAACCAUCUAACUAACAAAAUUAUUCAAUUGAAUUAAGAAAGAAUAAAUGCAGAGCUAUGUUUUGCCUCGUUUAAAUCGUUGGCGUGCUUGAGCCUUUGUGUAUCGCGUUCGAUUUGUAUAGGUUUCCGAUGCUUCACCGCUAUCACCGUUUGGCGACGAUUGGUCUGUCGACUUCUUGAAUUCAUCUAGCAGGUCGACUGGCGGCUCCAACAGGCCAAUUUUCUGCUGCUUUCGAUAGUACUGAUAACCGCGCGCAAUUCCAUGCCCUAUUGCCGAUAUUACAACUAUCAUUAGAACCAUUAAGGACGGAUGCUGGAAAUGGAGGGAAAUGCAAAAUGGAUUAGAAUCAGUUUUUGAAGUCAAUACGGUAGAACUAUGAGAAUUAAUAUAAAAUAAAACUAUUGGAACACACAAUCGAAGGGAUAGGUUAAUAAUAACAAUAUAUUUGUCAUCGCAAGUCAGAGAAGACUCACAUUAUUUCCAUGUCGACUCACACAAGCUCAUAGAAUUUUAAACUCGAGCCAACACAAGUCGGCUGUGAUUAACUUGCAGGUCAAAAUGUACUCAAUUUUAAUUUGGUUCAGUGAUUCAUCCUCACACAUAUUUGAAAGACUCAUACGGCUCGUGGCCCAUUUUUUCUUAACGAAGCAACAGUUUCGUUUAAAAGAAGAUUGGAAAAGAGAUGUUCUUGAAAGUAUUUCCAUUAGAAAAAUAAACUUUUUCGUUUGAAAAAGUUUUUUGUUCACAAACAGAAGGAAGAAGUUUUGAAAAGGUAGGAAAAAAAGUGCCAAAAAAUCAUUUUUUCUGCUGAGAAAGCAAAUUUGAAUGAAAAGAAAUAUUGAAAAAAAAAAAACGAAGUAUUAAAAGACUCUCAGUGUUGCUAUGUGCUGUUAUAGGUUGCUCUGUGCUGAUUUCGCAAAGUCGAAUCAUUUCAGUAGUGUUCAGAAAGCGAAAGUCCAUUCCCAUGUGCACCGUAAUUAGGAUGUGUUCAAAGAUCGAAGGUUCUUACCGAUAACGUUGGUGUUUUUGUGAAAAAGUCCGAUAUUACAAUGAUGACACCAAAAAAGAAGCCGAUGCCAGUUCCGAUCCAUGGCACACGCUUUUCAACUGGAAUAUGUGAAGAAGAGAAACAAUCGAAUCUUUGAUUCCGAAUUUAAGGUGAUGAAAGAUAAAAAGAUGUGAAUGAUUUUCUAUCGAGAAUUUUUCAAAAAAUUUCCAUAAAGAGUUUGAUCCAUAAGAAGUCCGAAAGAUCUCAUUCAAAAUCUCCCUCAGAUCGAUCAGAAGUUAAAAUGCAUCCACCGAAAGAGAGAUGGUUCUUACAUUGCGAGUCGGCGCUACUAAGUUGAGCAAUACGUUUGGCCGCAUUCAAAAUGCUGAUAUCAUUCGGUUGAAGUUGCAGGGCCCGACCGAGCAACAGUAGUGAUGUGUCAUAUUGGCCAGCUGCCGCUUGAGCCUCAGCCUUUCGAAAGUAUCCCUGUUAAGAGCAAAAACACACAUGAAAACCAAUUUAAUUCUACUUUCUCUUUGAAUUGAACAAAAAUCACUUUUAAACAAAAUCUAUCGCAAGAAAUAAACCAGCAAAUAAUUGAGUCUACCUUCGCCCAAUCGGGUUUCAAUUGAAUUGCCUUUUCGGCAUCAUCGUUGGCAUAAUAGAGAUGAUUGAGCUUAAGAAAAGCCAACGAUCGAUUGCUGUAGUAGGUUGCCUCGUUUGGGUUCAAUUUGAUAGCGAAUGAAUAAUGUAGAAUGGCUUCUGUAUAGUUGCCGGAUUUGACAGAUUCAUUUCCGCGUUCUUUGUGAUCGUUGGCCGUUUCUGGUGUGGUUCCAUUUUCUGUAGCUGUUGCAUUCUCACUCUUAAUUUCAUCGGCUGCAUCAUUUGUCUAGAAAAAAUAACAACAAAAACCAUUUGAUCACAUGAAAUUAAUUUGAUCACAAAAAAUGUAUUCAAUUUGCCGAUGUAAAAAACAAAACUGAAUAUUGAUCAAUACCAUUGUGAUGCAAUCGAAACAAUUGCGUGGCACAAAAUUGCAAAAGAAGCAAUUCUACCGGAUAAAAAUCGCCACGACAACAACCGAAGACAACAAACUGUCCAAACAAAACACUUGAUGAGACCGUUCACGUUGAAAUGCUCCGUUGCUUUGGUUACUUUUUGUAUUAAAAAUUCAUUGAACAAAAAAAAAUAGCUGCCGUGUCCGAAAUUGAAGAAAAAAACCGAAAAAAAACAAACACUAACUACAACAACAAUCAAUUCGAUGUGAUAUGAAGCAACAGAAUUUGAUUUCGGUUUUUGGAGAAAAGGGACAGCAAAAAAGAAUCGUUCAAAUUUUAAUUAGUUCGUGUUGCUACGAACUGACAACUACUUUUCCGUUUUGAUUGCCUAAAAAAAAGUGUUGUGUGUGUUAUUAUCGUGUGCGAUUUUCAGUCUGACAAUGAACGGAUCUAGCAUGCGGAAAAGAGACGGAUGCAUUUUGACAUUUGGUGUAUGCGUUUUUUUUUUCUUUUCGUUCUUCCUUCAUUCGACAUAGAUAUACCGACACAUGCACACACCGACACAUACACACAUGUGCAAUGUUUACCCGAGCUACUGUCAACAUUUUCGGCACGAAACGCGAUAAGAAAGAAUAACACAAGACGAAACGGUUUAGUUUUUUUGACGCAAUACAUCGCACGG